rnacentral:rRNA from 1 species
UGAGUAAUGUCUGGGAAACUGCCUGAUGGAGGGGGAUAACUACUGGAAACGGUAGCUAAUACCGCAUAACGUCGCAAGACCAAAGAGGGGGACCUUCGGGCCUCUUGCCAUCAGAUGUGCCCAGAUGGGAUUAGCUAGUAGGUGGGGUAAUGGCUCACCUAGGCGACGAUCCCUAGCUGGUCUGAGAGGAUGACCAGCCACACUGGAACUGAGACACGGUCCAGACUCCUACGGGAGGCAGCAGUGGGGAAUAUUGCACAAUGGGCGCAAGCCUGAUGCAGCCAUGCCGCGUGUGUGAAGAAGGCCUUCGGGUUGUAAAGCACUUUCAGCGAGGAGGAAGGUGGUGAGCUUAAUACGCUCAUCAGUUGACGUUACUCGCAGAAGAAGCACCGGCUAACUCCGUGCCAGCAGCCGCGGUAAUACGGAGGGUGCAAGCGUUAAUCGGAAUUACUGGGCGUAAAGCGCACGCAGGCGGUUUGUUGAGUCAGAUGUGAAAUCCCCGGG